UGACCGAGUAAAUGUGAAUAUUUUUUCACUUGAACACUCUGAUCUGUUUGGAACUUAAUUUCCUUACUCAUGAAAUUAAUAUAAUAAGGCUAAGUUGGUCAGUAGUUAAACUAACUAAAUUUGGCUGAAGAUUGCUAUGUUCACUAUGCAAAGAUUAGACCGUUAGUUCCCUGAGUGAAGAGAUGCUAUCUUGGUAUCUCCAGCUUCCAACCGGGGGCUUGGCACAGAAUAGGGGCUUGGUAAAUGUUUUCCAAAUGAAUGGGAUGUCUGAUGGAAAGAAGACAAGGUGAAGGAAUUCCUGGGUAAUAUGGAGAUGAGAAUCUGUGAGAAGGAUACAUGUACUGAUGCCUGUCGCGGUGGACACACAGACGCACACAUUGCGGAACACCACCAUAAGAAUAUUGAGAAUAUCGAGAACACUUCAAUAUUCCAAACUUCAAUGGAAAUAUACGUAGGUUUCACUUAACUAUGGUCCUGAUGGCUUUUUUGAAAAAGAAAGAAAGAAAAAAUGUUUUCAUCAUAUUAAGAAAAUGUCUUAGUCUUAGUUCAGAGAUUUCAUCAGAAAAUGAUGUUGAUUUAUAUAAAAGCUUUUUCAUAGAUAUAUCAAACCUAUAGAAAUUAUAAUGCAUUUUUCUCCUCUUUUGAUAUAUUGAUACAAUGCUGCAGAUCUUCUAAGAUUGAAUGAUCCUUGCAUUACUGAAAUAAGUAUUGUCAUAGUGUAUUAUCAUUUUAUUACAGUAUGCAUUUGA
rnacentral:lncRNA from 1 species